CAGCCCCUCGAGUGGUGGGGAUGAUUAUUUGGCCUAAAGCGUCCGUAGCCGGCCGUGUAAGUCUCCCGUUAAAUCCAGCGUCUCAAGCGUUGGACUGCGGGAGAUACUGCUCGGCUAGAGAGUGGGAGAGGUGUGAGGUAUUCUGGGGGUAGGGGCGAAAUCCUUUGAUCCCCGGAGGACCACCAGUGGCGAAGGCUGCACACUAGAACACGUCUGACGGUCAGGGACGAAAGCUGGGGUAGCGAACCGGAUUAGAUACCCGAGUAGUCC
rnacentral:rRNA from 1 species